UACCCUGAUGCAGCGACGCCGCGUGCGGGAUGAAGGCCUUCGGGUUGUAAACCGCUUUCACCAGGGACGAAGCGAGAGUGACGGUACCUGGGGAAGAAGCGCCGGCUAACUACGUGCCAGCAGCCGCGGUAAUACGUAGGGCGCAAGCGUUGUCCGGAAUUAUUGGGCGUAAAGAGCCCGUAGGCGGCCUGUUGCGUUUGCUGUGAAAUCCCAGGGC
rnacentral:rRNA from 1 species